UACAGAGGGUGCGAGCGUUGUUCGGAAUUAUUGGGCGUAAAGGGCGCGUAGGCGGUGCGGUAAGUCACCUGUGAAAUCUCCUGGCUCAACUGGGAGCUUGCAGGCGAAACUGCCGUGCUGGAGUGUGGGAGAGGUGAGUGGAAUUCCAGGUGUAGCGGUGAAAUGCGUAGAUAUCUGGAGGAACACCGGUGGCGAAGGCGGCAUCCUGGACCAAUACUGACGCUGAGGAGCGAAAGCUAGGGGAGCAAACGGG
rnacentral:rRNA from 1 species